GCAAGCCUGAUGCAGCCAUGCCGCGUGUAUGAAGAAGGCCUUCGGGUUGUAAAGUACUUUCAGCAGUGAGGAAGGUUCAUACGUUAAUAGCGUAUGGAUUUGACGUUAGCUGCAGAAGAAGCACCGGCUAACUCCGUGCCAGCAGCCGCGGUAAU
rnacentral:rRNA from 1 species